rnacentral:lncRNA from 1 species
GGAGUACUGAAUUUUAAUGAAAUGGUGCUGUAGUAUUAAAGUGUAGAAUAUCUUCUAGCUCAAUUAUGUUGGAAUUUCUAAUUCGAGUACUAGAGGUUUCUUUUGGGCUUUGCUCUCUGUCUUCCUGUCUGUUGGAUCCAGACUGACCAAGCAGCUGUCAUCUAUAGCCUUGCUGACUGUGAGAGAUGGUAUGGUAAAACAUCGUUUGGUGCUUAAGAUCUCAGUCCAGAAGUGACCCAAGUAAGUUACACUCAUAUGUAUGGUUUUGCUAAACAUCAUGGGUCCUGGGAAGUUCAAUCCUACAAAUGUACCUAGCCAGAGAGGAC